rnacentral:rRNA from 1 species
AGUGGACGCUGGCGGUAGGCCUAACACAUGCAAGUCGAACGGCAGCACAGUAAGAGCUUGCUCUUACGGGUGGCGAGUGGCGGACGGGUGAGGAAUACAUCGGAAUCUACUUUUUCGUGGGGGAUAACGUAGGGAAACUUACGCUAAUGCCGCAUACGACCUACGGGUGAAAGCAGGGGAUCUUCGGACCUUGCGCGAUUGAAUGAGCCGAUGUCGGAUUAGCUAGUUGGCGGGGUAAAGGCCCACCAAGGCGACGAUCCGUAGCUGGUCUGAGAGGAUGAUCAGCCACACUGGAACUGAGACACGGUCCAGACUCCUACGGGAGGCAGCAGUGGGGAAUAUUGGACAAUGGGCGCAAGCCUGAUCCAGCCAUACCGCGUGGGUGAAGAAGGCCUUCGGGUUGUAAAGCCCUUUUGUUGGGAAAGAAAAGCAGCAGGUUAAUACCCCGCUGUUCUGACGGUACCCAAAGAAUAAGCACCGGCUAACUUCGUG